AUAAUAAACUUUAUUUAUAUAGCACUUUUCAAAACACAGUUACAAAGUGCUGAACAAUAGAAACACAAAUUAAAACAAAGAGCAUAAAAAACAUGUGAUGUACAGAAAGAAGACAGGAUAAAAACAAAAGCAGGCUCAAAUGAAAUCUGGAAAGGCUCUCCGGUAAAAGUGGGUUUUGAGGAGAGAUUUAAAAAUGGUUAAAAGCUCUGUCCCCUUUAGUUAUGAGCCUGGACACUGGGAGCAACAGCAGCCUACUGCCUGAGGACCUCAGACUACGAGACGGCACAUAGGGGACUAAAAGCUCUGAGAUAUAUGCUGGGGCCAAGUCAUGUAGAGCCUUAAAAGUAAUCAAUAAAAUCUUAAAAUCAAUCCUAAAACAAACGGGAAGCCAGUGUAGAGACGCUAGAACAGGUGUGAUAUGGUCAUAUUUUGUUGAUCUUGUUAAAAGCCUGGCAGCUGAGUUUUGGACAGUCUGUAGCCGUUUGAGUGUUUUCUGGCUCAAGCAGGUAAAAAGGCUGUUACAAUAAUCAAGUCGUGAGGAGAUGAAAGAAUGUAUCAAAGUUUCAGCGUCACUGAGAUUUAAAAUUGAUCGAAUU